rnacentral:rRNA from 1 species
UAGAGUUUGAUCCUGGCUCAGAUUGAACGCUGGCGGAAUGCUUUACACAUGCAAGUCGAACGGCAGCACGGGAGCUUGCUCCUGGUGGCGAGUGGCGAACGGGUGAGUAAUGUAUCGGAACGUACCCCGUCGUGGGGGAUAACUCUCCGAAAGGAGAGCUAAUACCGCAUACGACCCGAGGGUGAAAGCGGGGGACCUGGGGUAACCUGGGCCUCGCGCGAUGGGAGCGGCCGAUAUCGGAUUAGCUAGUUGGUGGGGUAAAGGCCUACCAAGGCGACGAUCCGUAGCGGGUCUGAGAGGACGACCCGCCACACUGGAACUGAGACACGGUCCAGACUCCUACGGGAGGCAGCAGUGGGGAAUUUUGGACAAUGGGCGCAAGCCUGAUCCAGCCAUUCCGCGUGAGUGAAGAAGGCCUUCGGGUUGUAAAGCUCUUUCAGCAGGAACGAAACGGUGGGUCUUAAUACGGCCUGCUAAUGACGGUACCUGCAGAAGAAGCACCGGCUAACUACGUGCCAGCAGCCGCGGUAAUACGUAGGGUGCGAGCGUUAAUCGGAAUUACUGGGCGUAAAGCGUGCGCAGGCGGCGACAUAAGACAGAUGUGAAAUCCCCCGGGCUCAACCUGGGAACGGCGUUUGUGACUGUGUGGCUAGAGUGUAGCAGAGGGGGGUGGAAUUCCACGUGUAGCAGUGAAAUGCGUAAAGAUGUGGAGGAACACCGAUGGCGAAGGCAGCCCCCUGGGUUAACACUGACGCUCAUGCUCGAAAGCGUGGGGAGCAAACAGGAUUAGAUACCCUGGUAGUCCACGCCCUAAACGAUGCCAACUAGGUGUUGGGGGAGGAGACUUCCUUAGUACCGUAGCUAACGCGUGAAGUUGGCCGCCUGGGGAGUACGGUCGCAAGAUUAAAACUCAAAGGAAUUGACGGGGACCCGCACAAGCGGUGGAUGAUGUGGAUUAAUUCGAUGCAACGCGAAAAACCUUACCUACCCUUGACAUGUCCGGAAUCCCGAAGAGAUUUGGGAGUGCUCGAAAGAGAGCCGGAACACAGGUGCUGCAUGGCUGUCGUCAGCUCGUGUCGUGAGAUGUUGGGUUAAGUCCCGCAACGAGCGCAACCCUUAUCAUUAGUUGCCAUCAUUGAGUUGGGCACUCUAAUGAGACUGCCGGUGACAAACCGGAGGAAGGUGGGGAUGACGUCAAGUCCUCAUGGCCCUUAUGGGUAGGGCUUCACACGUCAUACAAUGGUCGGUACAGAGGGUUGCCAACCCGCGAGGGGGAGCUAAUCUCACAAAGCCGAUCGUAGUCCGGAUCGCAGUCUGCAACUCGACUGCGUGAAGUCGGAAUCGCUAGUAAUCGUGGAUCAGCAUGUCACGGUGAAUACGUUCCCGGGUC